rnacentral:rRNA from 1 species
CUCGUAGGCGGUCAUAUACGGCGGUGGUGAAAGCUCCCGGCUCAACUGGGAGAGGCCCGCCGCAACGGUAUGACUCGAGGGUGGUAGAGGCAGAUGGAAUUCCUGGUGUAGCGGUGAAAUGCGUAGAGAUCAGGAGGAACACCCGUGGCGAAGGCGGUCUGCUGGGCCACACCUGACGCUGAGGAGCGAAAGCUAGGGGAGCGAACGGGAUUAGAUACCCCGGUAGUCCUAGCCGUAAACGAUGGAUACUAAGUGUCAGCGGUAUCGACCCCGCUGGUGCUGCAGCUAACGCGUUAAGUAUCCCGCCUGGGGAGUACGGCCGCAAGGUUGAA